rfam:Trachymyrmex septentrionalis contig19375, whole genome shotgun sequence.
GUCUCGGUAGUCUAAAAGGCUUAGGACGCUCGCACGGAAUGCAAGAAAUCCGGGUUCGACUCCCUGCCGAGGCA